UUCAAGACUGAUAUUAUUCGCAAGUGAAGUGUGGACUGCAACUGAAUAAAAGAAAAGUUACAAUCUGAUUGGUAUAAAAGUUUUAAAUUUUUUGAAAUUUAAGAAAAUUGUGGGAAAUAAACUCAAGGGAAAUUACUAUGGAUAUUGGUCAACGUUUACUUGUCAUCACAUUGAUGGCCAUACUCGUUUUCUCCAUUAUGGAAACGGUUUCCGGACAGUGCUAUGAUGGGGCUUGUCUUGAAGGAGGGAAUGCGAGGUGCGCCCAGGUUUGCAGAACGUAUUGUGGAUACAGAAGUGGUCGAUGUGGCAACUGGCACGGGCUCACUUGCAUUUGUUCCAGAUAAACCUAUUGAAGUUUGUUUCAGGAGUUAGAUUUCAUAAUGUUGAAAAUUUUUGCUGUAGUGGAUGGUAGUGUGGUAGAGAAAAAAUAGUGUUUCCAUUUUUGUUUGUUUCCGGUUUAUAAUUUCUGUACAAAUUCCAUUUUCCUUUCGUAAAUUCCAUUGGGUGAAUAAAUAGUAAACAUAUUACUCCGUAUUUAGUGCA